GAGGGGAUAGCUCAGUGGUAGAGUACCUGCCUAGCAUGCACAAGGUCCUGGGUUCAAUCCCCAGUACCUCUA
rnacentral:tRNA from 1 species